UACGUAGGCAGCAAGCGUUGUUCGGAGUUACUGGGCGUAAAGGGUGUGUAGGCGGUUCUUUAAGUUUGGUGUGAAAUCUCCCGGCUUAACCGGGAGGGUGCGCCGAAUACUGAGGAGCUAGAGUGCGGGAGAGGAAAGUGGAAUUCCUGGUGUAGCGGUGAAAUGCGUAGAUAUCAGGAGGAACACCGGUGGUGUAGACGGCUUUCUGGACGAUAACUGACGCUGAGACGCGAAAGCGUGGGGAGCAAACAGG
rnacentral:rRNA from 1 species